rnacentral:rRNA from 1 species
AUUGAACGCUGGCGGCAGGCUUAACACAUGCAAGUCGAGCGGGGUGAUGGUGCUUGCACUAUCACUUAGCGGCGGACGGGUGAGUAAUGCUUAGGAAUCUGCCUAUUAGUGGGGGACAACAUCUCGAAAGGGAUGCUAAUACCGCAUACGUCCUACGGGAGAAAGCAGGGGAUCUUCGGACCUUGCGCUAAUAGAUGAGCCUAAGUCGGAUUAGCUAGUUGGUGGGGUAAAGGCCUACCAAGGCGACGAUCUGUAGCGGGUCUGAGAGGAUGAUCCGCCACACUGGGACUGAGACACGGCCCAGACUCCUACGGGAGGUAGCAGUGGGGAAUAUUGGACAAUGGGGGGAACCCUGAUCCAGCCAUGCCGCGUGUGUGAAGAAGGCCUUAUGGUUGUAAAGCACUUUAGGCGAGGAGGAGGCUACUCUAGUUAAUACCUAGGGAUAGUGGACGUUACUCGCAGAAUAAGCACCGGCUAACUCUGUGCCAGCCGCCGCGGUAA